UGAAGACAAAUUCUCAUCCAACUUCCAUUCUUUUCCUUCUUCAAUUUGCAGAGAACAUUUAAGAGAGAGUUUGGAAGAAGAAGAGGAAUUUUACUAGAAUUUUGAGGUUGAAGAAGAGGAGGAGAACUGAAGCAAAGUGUAUCCAUGGCUGAAUCUUGGUUCAUUCUGCACAUCACUAGUUUUUAAUUCAGUUUGAACUCUUCAAAAGGAAUUAAGAGGGCAGUUGGUUUUCACUUGAAAUAAGGAGGUCUCUGGUUUUUCUUGUAUUUCAGAGUGUACCGGUGGAGUUCAAAACUAUAUUUAGUAUGGUUGGAAAGCUUAUUCAAUUUUCUACAACUUUCAUGAAGAAAUCGUGAACCAAAAACGACUAAAAAUCAGUUAAAUUCUGGAAGUUGUUCUGUUUCGAGGGUUAUCUAAGUUUAUUCACAGGGAAUCAGAUUUACAUGUUAUCAGGCCGAGAAGAAUUAAACCGAGCUUAUAGACCGAGGAUCUAGCCCAAGACGGAGUCAUGCCAACACGUACUAGUAGACGACGUCGACAGAAUCAGGACGAGAUGCAAGGUCCUAUCCAAUGUCCAUCUUUAGGGGAAUCUAGUACCCUAAGAGUUCGAGGUGGGGCUGGAAACGAGCAGUUUAUGAGAACUGCACAUGAGAUAGGAAGGCCAGAGAGAGCAGAGCCUAGUGAUCCAGAAAAUGCAUAUGGAAUUAAACGACUGAAGAAGUUAGGGGCUACAGUGUUUUAGGGUUCCACAGAUCCAGUUGAUGCAGAGAACAGGUUGAAUAUGCUUGAAAAGUGUUUUGAUGCGAUGAAUUGUCCUGAGGAGCGAAAGGUUAGAUUGGCCACAUUUUUGUUGCAAAAAGAGGCUGAAGGAUGAUGGAAAUCUAUAUUAGCAAGGCGCAGUGAUGCAUGUGCUUUAGACUGGUAGACUUUUAGAUGCAUAUUCGAAGAUAAGUAUUAUCCCAGCAUAUACUGCGAAGCCAAGAGGGAUGAAUUUCUGGGGUUGAAACAAGGAUCACUUUCAGUGGUUGAGUAUGAGAGGAAGUAUACUGAGCUUUCACGGUAUGCUGAUGUUAUUGUUGCUUCUGAGAGUGACAGGUGCCGAAGGUUUGAAAGAGGGUUAUGUUUUGAAAUACGUACCCUAGUUACAACAAUUGCUAAGUGGACGAAUUUCUCUAAGUUAGUGGAGACUGCCCUUUCAUAUCAUAAUACCUCUCAUUAAAUGAGGACAACGGGAGAAGAUUAGAUAUAACUAAAAUAAUACUACAUACAACAUUUAAUGUCCUCUCAUUCUUUUGGAAGCAAUAAUGAUGAAUCUUUUGAUGGCUAUUUAAAGCUAUCUUAACCGUCGUCGACCACUGUCAUGAUGCCAUAAGUUGUCAUAUCGACACCAUUGGAAUCUCUAAUGGCCAAAUUACUUUUAGCAUUCUCAUUAUCGCCCACGGCCUUCUCGUUGCACUCGUAGCAAGACAAAUAUUAGUUUUCAACUUGAGAAUUGGUCAUCGUUGCUACAACAGAUUUGGCCAAAUUUAGAGAUUUUUUUUUGCAUUUGUACAUGUAAG